UAAUGGCUCACCAAGGCGACGAUCCCUAGCUGGUCUGAGAGGAUGAUCAGCCACACUGGAACUGAGACACGGUCCAGACUCCUACGGGAGGCAGCAUUGGGGAAUAUUGCACAAUGGGCGCAAGCCUGAUGCAGCCAUGCCGCGUGUGUGAAGAAGGCCUUCGGGUUGUAAAGCACUUUCAGUCGUGAGGAAGGUAGUGUAGUUAAUAGCUGCAUUAUUUGACGUUAGCGACAGAAGAAGCACCGGCUAACUCCGUGCCAGCAGCCGCGGUAAUACGGAGGGUGCGAGCGUUAAUCGGAAUUACUGGGCGUAAAGCGCAUGCAGGUGGUUUGUUAAGUCAGAUGUGAAAGCCCGGGGCUCAACCUCGGAAUUGCAUUUGAAACUGGCAGACUAGAGUACUGUAGAGGGGGGUAGAAUUUCAGGUGU
rnacentral:rRNA from 1 species